AAAGGCAGCCCCGCGCCGCACCCGCAGGAGCCGCCCCCUUCUCCAUCGCCGGGAAGCCCCCGCCGCGAACAACUCAAAGAAGUUUCUGCUGAUUGGAGGGAGGGCGAGGAGGCUGGGAGAAGGGGCGUGGGGGUGUGUGUCCCACUGUCAUGUAAAUAUCCCCCGCGGGCAGGGCGGCUGCGAGGCCGACUUAAAUCUCCCGCACCUGAGGCCGCCUCAGUUCCUGUGAGUUUCUUCCUGCUGUGAACAUCAGGGCUCUGGGCUCUGUCUCCCGGUCAUCUCCCUCGCGCCAUGGCCCCGAAGCGGCAGUCUGCGAUCCUGCCUCAGCCCAAGAAACCCAGACCGGCUGCUGCCCCGAAGCUGGAGGACAAGUCGGCCUCUCCCGGCCUGCCGAAGGGAGGUAAGUUCCUCCAUUGCGUUUCCUUGGUGAUCGACUCUGUGAUUGGCUUUUUCUGCUCCCCCCCCAUCCCACUGGACUUGAGACCCCCUUACAAUCACUCGUGAAAGCUUUUGUCCCGGGGCGGCGGGGAAUGAAGGUGAUGUGGGAAAAGGAGCAGAAAGCGCGGAACCGGGAGACCAGAGCACAGGGGACUUCCUCCGGCCCGGGACACCACGUGGGACCCAGCUUGCCCUUCCCAGCCCCCAAACUCUCAAAUGGGGCUUCUGUCUCGGUAAAUGCAUCAGCUUGAGGCCUCCCCACCCCUCCAACCACGAGUCCUGGAGAUUCAAGCCCGCUCUGAUCGUCUCCCUGUUGCUGGAGCCGCCGGCCCACAACUCUGGCCUGAAUUACUGCCACCUCGUGUAGCUCCCAGCUUCCUUCUCCCAUCCUGCCUGAGCAAAGGGCUAGUCACGUGGUUGUCUCCUACAGUUAAGACCUAGCCUCUCGGCCCUCCAGGUACAAACUAAGACUUCCGGUACCGGGGACCCUGCCCACCUGGUUCCCACCCAUCUCUCCGGGUUUCCCAAGGGGUGGCAUGGCCUAAAGGCCUGGAGCUGCGUUUUCUCUCCUCCGAGCCUGCACACGUACUUGCCCUAUGCCAGGAAACUCGGGUUUGAGGCGGAGUGGGGGGAGUCGCUUUCCAGCUUCUCGCUCUGAGCCUAAGCGCUCCUUAUCUGAAACGCUGCUGGCCGCACCCAGAAUCGCCCCUUGCAAGCACUUUUCUUCGCUUUCCAUUCAGACAGUGGUUUUCAUGCCUGCACUUUUCGCCUCCUCUGUUGACCGUGAGAGCUGCGUUUCUUACACACAGCUUCGAGUCGUGGUGUAGUUUUCCCGCGUAGCUUGUGUCUGGUACAGGGCAGAGAAGCAGAAGGAAAAUAUGCAUUUGGAUUAAGUCUAGACGCCCUAGGCACCGAGUGGAGUCGGCAUCUCUGCACUUCUGUGGACCUGCUUCUCUUUGCUGUGUCCCAUUCUCUUGCCUUUCAAAUGGUAGGCAAAGACCUGCCCAAUGUCUCCAAGUGGUAAAGACAGGGUCUCGAUAUGACUCUCCUGGUACUCCCACCUUUAACAUGCUGGGAUUAAAGGCACCGCCCCACCCAGAGUUUUCUUUUCUAAAGGGAGGGCUUCAUGUAGAUCACGCAGGCCUCCAAUUUGCCAGUGAGGAUGACCUUGAACUUUCUGAUUCAGAGCUGGGAUUCCAGGCUAGCACCAUCGUGCCUAACGUACUGGGUCUGGAGCCCCGAACAUGCUGUAUGUACACACGGCAAACACCCUUUUUCUCACUGCUUGCUGAGACUUAAGGGUAAAUAAAUUGCAGUUGAGAUGGGGGUUAAUCUUUUCCCUUUUGUUAUAAGCAAAGUGUGAGCGAACCUUUUUGGUGUUACACAUUUAGUCUGUUGGCAGAAAUAGUUAAACCGGGAGAGAUGGGAGGGUGCCACCAUAGUCCUCCUAAAUGUGCCCAGUGGACACAGGUUGACCUGCCAGGCACUGUAGCCAGCCUCUCCACACUGGUAUGGAGAGUGCAAUGCUUGGUGGCUUCCUGGGUGCACCCAUGCCCAGCGCCCCCCCCCCCCUUCUGCUUUGAUUUCCCUUAGUAUGCUCCUUGUAUUCAUCUUGAAGUUCAGGGCCCAAUCAGAGGAAGGCCCCGUGGGUCUUCUGUAGAUUUAUGCUGUGGUCACAGGCACCAACCCUUGGACCAGACGUUGUGGUUGAAAAAAACUUCAGUUUUCAGAGCAAGCUUCUUUCUACCUGGGAGUGGCCCAUUAAGUCAGUCUAUCUAGGCUUGUAGGUAAAAAAAGGAAAGAGAUUGGAGAAGUGGUGGUUCAGUGCUUAAGAGCACAUUGGCCUUGCCAGGGACCUGGAUUUAGUUUCUAGUACUGCAGUGGUGGCUCCCAGCUUCGGCUCCAGGAGGAUCCUCUUCUGGCCUUUGCACAUAGCACAGUUAAAUACUACAGACAAAACACUCUUCUGGGUAAAAAGUAAUUUUUAAAUUGUUUGUGUAAUACAAAGAGAAAGAAACAGACAUUCUUGGUGGGUUGGUUUGUUUCCCCCACCCCCCACCCCCCCCGUGGGUGUGCGCCAAGACUUGAUGUCAGCUCUUGUCUCUUAAGCCACAUUUAAGACAUUAGGGGUUUGGGGAGUGAAGAGCAGAAGUUCAAGGCCAUCCUUUUCUAGUUCCACUCCCCACCUCCCAACCCCC
rnacentral:lncRNA from 1 species